UACGUAGGUGGCAAGCGUUGUCCGGAGUUAUUGGGCGUAAAGCGCGCGCAGGCGGUGCGGUAAGUCUCUGGUGAAAGCGCUCGGCUUAACUGGGCGAGGGCCGGGGAGACUGCCACGCUGGAGGGGAGCAGAGGCGAGUGGAAUUCCGGGUGUAGUGGUGAAAUGCGUAGAGAUCCGGAGGAACACCAGUGGCGAAGGCGGCUCGCUGGGCUCUCCCUGACGCUGAGGCGCGAAAGCGUGGGGAGCGAACCGG
rnacentral:rRNA from 1 species